rnacentral:rRNA from 1 species
GACGAACCGUGCGAACGUUGUUCGGAAUCACUGGGCUUAAAGGGCGCGUAGGCGGGCCAUCAAGUCCGGGGUGAAAUCCUUCGGCUUAACCGGAGAAUUGCCUUGGAUACUGGUGGUCUUGAGGGAAGUAGGGGUCUGCGGAACUUCCGGUGGAGCGGUGAAAUGUGUUGAUAUCGGAAGGAACGCCGGUGGCGAAAGCGGCGGACUGGGCUGCACCUGACGCUGAACUGCGAAGCCAGGGGAGCGAACGGGG